AGAUUGAACGCUGGCGGCAUGCCUUACACAUGCAAGUCGAACGGCAGCACGGGAGCAAUCCUGGUGGCGAGUGGCGAACGGGUGAGUAAUACAUCGGAACGUGCCCAGUUGUGGGGGAUAGCCCGGCGAAAGCCGGAUUAAUACCGCAUACGACCUACGGGUGAAAGCGGGGGAUCGCAAGACCUCGCGCUAUUGGAGCGGCCGAUGUCGGAUUAGCUUGUUGGUAGGUAAAAGCCUACCAAGGCUACGAUCCGUAGCUGGUCUGAGAGGACGACCAGCCACACUGGGACUGAGACACGGCCCAGACUCCUACGGGAGGCAGCAGUGGGGAAUUUUGGACAAUGGGCGAAAGCCUGAUCCAGCCAUGCCGCGUGACGGGAAGAAAGGCCC
rnacentral:rRNA from 1 species